UACGUAGGCAGCGAGCGUUGUUCGGAAUUACUGGGCGUAAAGAGUGUGUAGGCGGUGCUCUAAGUUCGGUGUGAAAUCUCCUGGCUCAACUGGGAGGGUGCGCCGGAAACUGGAGUGCUUGAGCGUGGGAGAGGAAGCGGAAUUCCUGGUGUAGCGGUGAAAUGCGUAGAUAUCAGGAGGAACACCUGUGGUGUAGACGGCUUUCUGGACCAUAGA
rnacentral:rRNA from 1 species